CCGGCGAGGGGAGUGAAAAAGAACCUGAAACCGUGUACGUACAAGCAGUGGGAGCCCCACCACUAAGCCAGUGGUGAACUCCACAUAUGCAUCCUUUGCUGAAGGUGCGGUUAACGGAGCGUAAGCGACGUUCAACCUCAAAAGAAGCAGAGGGGGCUUAGUGGUGGGGUGACUGCGUACCUUUUGUAUAAUGGGUCAGCGACUUAUAUUCUGUAGCAAGGUU
rnacentral:rRNA from 1 species